CAGGCUCCUGGACUCACACCUGGAGAGGGGGGACCCCGCCCCGCUCUGGGCCCACUCUGGGGGCGGGAUCUUAGGUUCAUCUUUCUGCAUUUUCUGUUUUACUCUUUUCUACCAUAGACAAGUGUGCAUUACUUUUCAUAAUUUGAAAAUAAAAUCAUAAAAAAUCAAGACUUUCAGAUAAACGUACAUUUAGACAUGAAUUAACUAUAAAAUGUAGCAAAGCGAGCUCUCAGCGGGCUGCCUGGUCACGGUGGUUUCUGGGAUGAAGACAAGCAGCUGGCCGGGUGGCUGAACCUGGUUGAUAGAGUCUGUGCACCGACCCUCCGGAGGGCAGGGCGCGCUGCCCCCUCGGAGGAGUCCUGCCUCGGAGACACAAUAUUACUAAAACUUAUGUCGUGACAACAUGUGCCUCUUAAUCUCCAAAGUAAUCCUGUGAGGUAAGUAUUACUGUUUUCAUUAUUCCCAUUUUUCAGGAAAAUUGGGGCCCAGAGAGAUUAAGUAAAUUGCUGAAGGUCACACAGCACAAAAGGGGUGGAGAGGAUUCUAGUCUCAGAAUUUGUCCCAAGGGCCACCUCUUGACCCGUAGGGGAUGCCGGCCUUCCUGUCUCCCUGACACCCCCUCCACUGGGACGCCAGCAAGGUCUGUGUAAAAAGCAGACCUUUCUAGAGCUGGUGGAGCUCCACUUUAGACAAAUCGGAACAUUCGAGGUCCACAGAGAGAGUGUAGUGUCCUCCAAAGAAUGAGGUCAGGGUCGGCAGACCUGGGUGUGUGAGGCCCUGCGUCCACUCCUGCCUCUGAAACCUCAGAGGGGGAAACUGAGGCACAGAGAUGCUAAGACCCUGCCCAGAGCCAGCCAUCAAGGAGGCAGCCGUCCUGCAUUCACUGGGCGUGGACUUUGUGCGCACCGCUGGUCCCACAGAUGGGCGCACCGGGGCCCGGGGGUGCACAGUGGGAGGUGCAGAGUGGGAGCCGGCGUGGGUGGGGGCAGUGAGGAGGCGCAAGCCCCUGCCUCUCUGGCCUCCCCUGUAGGGUCCCCACCCACCACCGGCCAGCUCCUUUCUGCUCAUCCCGCCUGGACCUCCCCUCCCUGGCCCCCGCCCCAGUCCCUCUGUCCUGGCCAAAUUCUCAGCUUAACAGUGACUUCUCAGGGGUCCUUCCCAGACCCCCCCACUGUAGAUUGGGGCCCCCUUUCACCUCUCCCAGCGGCCUCUGCCCCGGAGCGCUGGUCACGGUUUGCCUUCUCCCUCUGGUCUGUGGCUGUCGGACUGAGGUCUUCGGGAGACCGUCAGCUCCGAGGGGCGGGACCCUCAGCCUCACCCAGCACACGGCCGGCACGUGGCAGGUGCACAGCCCAGUGCGGGACGAGUGAAGAGAGAGGAGCAAAGGCAUGAAGGGAUGCAGGCAUGCUCCAGCCGAGACGCUGCAGGGCGGCUGGAAGGGGGCACGGGGUUGUCAGCUGUGGCGGCUGCGGUUCUUUUUUCUCACUGAAGAGGAACGUGUGAUGAUCGUGGAAGGAAUGCUUGGCUGUCACUCCCCAGCGAAGCGGCUGAUCUCUUGUAUUUUGACUGUCCCAUCCCACAUCUGGGAGAAGAACUUUCCUCCCUCUAGGGGGUGGGGGCCAUGACACCUUGUCUGCCCUGGUGAUCCUGGGUGCUCUCCGUCCCUCUGAAGCAAGCAGGGGAUCCAGCCUCCCAGCCCUGGGCCGGCACUUUGCACCGGUGGCCGAUGUUGAGGCUGCAGACUGCCUGAGAGAGCAGCUCAGGCGCAGAGGGAGGAAGCACCAGGGCUGAGAUGGGGAGGGGUCCGCAUCGCUGCGCUUUCUCCAGUGGUCUCCUUCUGGCUCCUCCAGGUGCAGGAAAAGAGCCGUGUAGGCAAGCCUGUGGUGUCUGACCCCAAGCAGCAGGGGAGGGUUCUGGGCUCUCAGUGUCCCCCACAGCUUUCUCCCCUUCCCAGAAGAUAGCAGGACUUUAUGUUCCGGUCCUUCUUCAGGCUUUGGUAGCAGGGAGUAGAGAGCAGAGUUUGCUGAAGGACGACCCAGGCUUGGAGGGAGCGUGGCUGAGGUGGUAGGCGCUGGCCAGAAGUGUCCUCGUCUGAAGACUGGGGACAGGCAGAAGACCCUGUAAUCUGCAGCGGGAUGAUUUCAACACACAGAGCAGUUGAUCCAUGCCUUGAACAGCCGGUGCUCACACAGUACCCAGGAAGCACUCAAUAAAUGCUUGCUGUUCAUGUAAGUUGUGACUGACCAGUGUGGACUGUGGGUCUGGUGGCCCCCCGAGAGUGUGGCUCUGGGCCAGCCCUGGGGCCUUUGAGGAGCAGUGGGGCGGAUGGCUGGUCCCGCCACCGCGUGGGAUGGGGGCCUGAGGCACUUCUUGGGGGUUUGAGAGGCGAGUGGAAUGUGAGUGUCUAAGGUCAGCGAGAUUCAGGCUCACUGUCCCGUCUCAUGGGAGGCUGGCCGGGCCAGGGUGGGGGGUCGCCAAGGUAAACCUCCCACGGAGGGAGCCCAGCCUGCAUGUCACCUCGGCACCCUUUGAGGUGAGCUAGGUGACCCAUGUUUUGUAGGUGAGGAAGCUGACACUCAGGGCCACCAUGGGGAGCCGCCCCAUGCUCAUGACCGAUGAGCCGCGGAUCAGGGACCGGAACCUGGUCUGUUUCCUGAGCUUGAGGACCCUCGACAUCGGACUCAGCUGCCCUUAAGGGGCACUGACUUCCCAGGGGUCCCGGGCUCUGGUCUCCAGCGAUGGGACUGGCUCUGCCCAGUGUCCAGCUCCUGCGGCUUCUGGCCUCUGAGCUCAGUGGCUGAGCCCUUGGUGGGGACGUGUCCCCUGCCUCCUCUCUCCCUAGAAGCUGCUCCGUGUCCUCAGGAGCUGGAGGAUGGUUUUGCCACCUGGUGCCCGCGAGGCGGUGCCCAGGUGCUGGGAAGGGC
rnacentral:lncRNA from 1 species